rnacentral:rRNA from 1 species
UACGGAGGGUGCGAGCGUUAAUCGGAAUUACUGGGCGUAAAGCGCAUGCAGGUGGUUCAUUAAGUCAGAUGUGAAAGCCCGGGGCUCAACCUCGGAACCGCAUUUGAAACUGGUGAACUAGAGUGCUGUAGAGGGGGGUAGAAUUUCAGGUGUAGCGGUGAAAUGCGUAGAGAUCUGAAGGAAUACCAGUGGCGAAGGCGGCCCCCUGGACAGACACUGACACUCAGAUGCGAAAGCGUGGGGAGCAAACAGG